rnacentral:rRNA from 1 species
GACGAACGCUGGCGGCGUGCUUAACACAUGCAAGUCGAACGGAAAGGCCCUGCUUUUGUGGGGUGCUCGAGUGGCGAACGGGUGAGUAACACGUGAGUAACCUGCCCUUGACUUUGGGAUAACUUCAGGAAACUGGGGCUAAUACCGGAUAGGAGCUCCUGCUGCAUGGUGGGGGUUGGAAAGUUUCGGCGGUUGGGGAUGGACUCGCGGCUUAUCAGCUUGUUGGUGGGGUAGUGGCUUACCAAGGCUUUGAAGGGUAGCCGGCCUGCGAGGGUGACCGGCCACAUUGGGACUGAGAUGCGGCCCGGACUCCUACGGUAGGCAGCAGUGGGGAAUAUUGCACUAUGGGCGGAAGGCUGAUGCGGCAACGCCGCGUGCGGGAUGACGGCCUUCGGGUUGUAAACCGCUUUCGCCUGUGACGAAGCGUGAGUGACGGUAAUGGGUAAAGAAGCACCGGCUAACUACGUG